GACAGAGGGCUCAAACGUUGUUCGGAAUUACUGGGCAUAAAGCGCACGCAGGCGGCUUGCUAAGUCGGGUGUGAAAUCCCCAGGCUUAACCUGGGAACUGCAUUCGAGACUGCAUUGCUAGAGUAUGGGAGAGGGAAGUGGAAUUUCCGGUGUAGCGGUGAAAUGCGUAGAUAUCGGAAGGAACAUCAGUGGCGAAAGCGACUUCCUGGACCAAUACUGACGCUCAUGUGCGAAAGCGUGGGGAGCAAACAGG
rnacentral:rRNA from 1 species